CGCAAUGGGCGCAAGCCCGACGGAGCGAUGUCGCGUGAUGGAUGAAGUUCUUAGGAACGUAAACAUCUUUUAUCGAGGAGAAAAUUUUGAUAGUACUCGAUGAAUAAGGGGUUGCUAAACUCGUGCCAGCAGCAGCGGUAAUACGAGUGCCCCAAGCGUUAUCCGGAAUUACUGGGCGUAAAGCGUGUGUAGGCGGCGUGAUUAGUCUUUGGUCAAAGCUCCCGGCUUAACCGGGAAGAGGCCGAAGAAACGGUCACACUAGAGGGUGCGAAAGGUCUAUGGAACUCAUGGUGUAGGAGUGAAAUCCGUUGAUAUCAUGGGGAACACCGAAAGCGAAGGCAAUAGACUGGCGCAUUACUGACGCUGCAACACGAAAGCGU
rnacentral:rRNA from 1 species